rnacentral:rRNA from 1 species
GACGAACGCUGGCGGCGUGCUUAACACAUGCAAGUCGAACGGAAAGGCCCUGCUUUUGUGGGGUGCUCGAGUGGCGAACGGGUGAGUAACACGUGAGUAACCUGCCCUUGACUUUGGGAUAACUUCAGGAAACUGGGGCUAAUACCGGAUAGGAGCUCCUGCUGCAUGGUGGGGGUUGGAAAGUUUCGGCGGUUGGGGAUGGACUCGCGGCUUAUCAGCUUGUUGGUGGGGUAGUGGCUUACCAAGGCUUUGACGGGUAGCCGGCCUGAGGGGGUGACCGGCCACAUUGGGGACGGGGUACCGGCCCGACCCCCUCGGGGGGGAAGAAGGGGGAAAAUUGGAAAAAGGGGGGGAGCCUGAUGCCGCAAAGCCGCGUGGGGGGUUGCGGGCUUCGGGGUGUAAACCCGUUUUCCCCGGGGACAAAGGGGAGGGGACGGAAAUGGGAAAAGAAACACCGGAUAACUAGGG